GAUGAACGCUGGCGGCGUGCCUAAUACAUGCAAGUCGAGCGAACAGACGAGGAGCUUGCUCCUCUGACGUUAGCGGCGGACGGGUGAGUAACACGUGGAUAACCUCCCUAUAAGACUGGGAUAACUUCGGGAAACCGGAGCUAAUACCGGAUAAUCUAUUGAACCGCAUGGUUCAAUAGUGAAAGACGGUUUUGCUGUCACUUAUAGAUGGAUCCGCGCCGCAUUAGCUAGUUGUUAAGGUAACGGCUUACCAAGGCAACGAUGCGUAGCCGACCGGACAGGGUGAUCGGCCACACUGGAGCUGAGACGGCGUCCAGACGCCUACGGGAGGCAGCAGUAGGGAACCUUCCGCAAUGGGCGAAAGCCUGACGGAGCAACGCCGCGUGAGUGAUGAAGGUCUUCGGAGCGUAAAACUCUGUUAUGAGUGAAGAACAAAUGUGUAAGUAACUAUGCACGUCUUGACGGUACCUAAUCAGAAAGCCACGGCUAACUACGUG
rnacentral:rRNA from 1 species